UAAAGAUAUACACAAAACAUAGAGUUAACAAGACAUGAAAUUGUUAUUUAUAAAUCAAUCGAAAACUUCUAUUUAUUGCAUGCAAAGGAGAAAAAUAUGACUCAGGCACUAAUUUUUGUUUAUGCUUUGAUCAUCUUUCUUUCUUUAUCUUUCGUUAUAACCACUAAAAGAACUAGCAUUGGAUGUGUUUCCGACGAUGAUUGUCCAGUGCCAUUUUUACCUAUAGUUAUUAAGUGCAUUGACAAAUUUUGUGAGUUGUCAAUUUUUGUGGGUUAAAUCUUUUUUCUAAAUUGUGGUUAGUGUUAUAAUUAAGUUUAAAAAUAAUUAUGUUACCUAUAAGGUUAUAAUUUUAUUUGUAUAUGAUAAUGCUUGUACUUUUACAUUUUAUUUCAAAAUUUGAUUUGUGUUUCU